AGAGUUUGAUCCUGGCUCAGGACGAACGCUGGCGGCGCGCCUAACACAUGCAAGUCGAACGAGAGAGAAGGAGCUUGCUUCUUCGAUCGAGUGGCGAACGGGUGAGUAACGCGUGAGGAACCUGCCUCAAANAGGGGGACAACAGUUGGAAACGACUGCUAAUACCGCAUAAGCCCACGGGUCGGCAUCGACCGGAGGGAAAAGGAGCAAUCCGCUUUGAGAUGGCCUCGCGUCCGAUUAGCUAGUUGGUGAGGUAAUGGCCCACCAAGGCGACGAUCGGUAGCCGGACUGAGAGGUUGAACGGCCACAUUGGGACUGAGACACGGCCCAGACUCCUACGGGAGGCGGCA
rnacentral:rRNA from 1 species